rnacentral:rRNA from 1 species
CCCCCCUCCCCGGGGGGGUGGCCAGCGCCCGCCAGAGGACCAUCAAACUCCAGUCAGUAAACGAUGCAGUCUGAAAAACAUUUAAUAAACUAAAACUUUCAACAACGGAUCUCUUGGUUCUGGCAUCGAUGAAGAACGCAGCGAAAUGCGAUAAGUAAUGUGAAUUGCAGAAUUCAGUGAAUCAUCGAAUCUUUGAACGCACAUUGCGCCCUUUGGUAUUCCGAAGGGCAUGCCUGUUCGAGCGUCAUUACAACCCUCAAGCUCUGCUUGGUAUUGGGCACCGUCCUUUGCGGGCGCGCCUCAAAGACCUCGGCGGUGGCGUCUUGCCUCAAGCGUAGUAGAACAUACAUCUCGCUUCGGAGCGCAGGGCGUCGCCCGCCGGACGAACCUUCUGAACUUUUCUCAAGGUUGACCUCGGAUCAG